CAUGUUUGAGUAAUCAGCCUGUUUGAUUUAUAACAGAUUUAUAAAGCUCUAUAAUACUGUGUUCAGUGAUUAUUGUGAUUAUUCAUUCUUUAUUUCUUCAGUCUUCCAUAGACCCAGCAUCUGUUUGGUCUACAGGGAUACUACAUCAGAGAAGGGAUUUACCCCAAAUCCUGUAGCAUCCCCAACAGCACUCCUCUACAGAUUUCAUCCGAUCUCUCUUUUCCGUCUUCCCUCCUAGCCUAGCCCACAUAAGUGUAACGGAACCGGAAGGGCAUGCAAGGUACCAGCGCCAAACUUAGUGCCGCGGCCGACCCACUUCCCUGUGCGAAAGACAAAUGAAGAUACAAGAUGACGUGUGAGAGUGAAGAUGCACAGAGCCCAGAUGGUUAAGGAAACUGGAGGCGAUGGAGCAGAAAAGCACACUGAAUCCCUUAUCCACUUUAAGCCUCAAAAAUGACUUUUGGGUUUUUAACAGACUGCCUGCCUGGCAUGCUUUGCCCGCCGUCACUAUGGUGAUGCGAUGAUUGAAGUGGGGAUGAAAUGGGGCUUCCUGGAGAAAAUCCCAAGUCUGGCUGCCGAAACUGUGAGGAGAUCAACUGAAAU